CGGCCCAGCCACAAAACCAAGGCCCAGUCGCAAACUGCAGCCACAGAAGCAAAACCAACGUCUCAGGAGUAAAACACAGGGCCCCGAUUCAAGCUGGGACCCAGACAGAAACCGGCUCGCAGGCACGAAACUCACAAGUAAAACCCGGCAACUCUGGCCGAGCCGUCCAGGGAGCCCCGCCAGGAACGCCCCGCCAGGGACACGGCCCUGGAGCGGGAACAGCGCAAGGACUCCGGACCUCUGAGCCCCACAGCUGCCCUCAGUUGCAGCUCUGCCAGCAGACACCACCCACCGCCGCCUGAAAACAACCAGUACUGACACUGAGCCAGUAUACAGGUUCUGCACCCACAUUCAAAAAGUGAAAUAUGACAUUUAUUUUGACCGACAUCCUAUAACCAAGAGAAAGGAAGAGAUGAAGGAAGAAAAAGAGAGAAAGAAGGGGAAAAUAGGAAGGAAAGGAAGGAAGGAAGAAAAAGGAGAUUAAGGAAGAUAGGAGAGAAGAAAGGAAGACAGGCAGAGAGUCAAAGGAAGCAAGAAAUCAAGGAUGGAGUGAAAAAUUAUAAUCCAAGGGUAUUCAAACAAACACUUUUGGGGUCUUUUGUUGUUGUUUUGUCUGUUUUGCAAAAUAAGUUGUGAAGUACAUUGUUUGCCCAAGUUUCAUUGUAAUAAAGCUUAA